GGGACUUUAGCUCUGUGGGUAGAGCAUCGGUUUGUUGUCCCAAAGUUCGCGGCUUCGAUCCCCGGGUUUCG